rnacentral:rRNA from 1 species
UUGACGGGCCCGCACAAGCAGCGGAGCGUGUGGUUUAAUUCGAUGUUACACGAAGAACCUUACCAGGGUUUGACAUGCAAGUGGUAGGAAACCGAAAGGUGACCGACCCUUCGGGGAGCUUGCACAGGUGCUGCAUGGCUGUCGUCAGCUCGUGUCGUGAGAUGUUCGGUUAAGUCCGCUAACGAGCGCAACCCUCGCUGUGUGUUAUAUGUGUCACACGGGACUGCCGGUCUUAAGCCGGAGGAAGGUGGGGAUGAUGUCAAGUCAGCAUGGCCUUUAUAUCCUGGGCUACACACACGCUACAAUGGCCAACACAAUAGGUUGCUAAGCCGCGAGGUGGCGCCAAUCCAUAAAGUUGGUCUCAGUUCAGAUUGUAGGCUGCAACCCGCCUGCAUGAAGAUGGAGUUGCUAGUAACCGCAGGUCAGCUAUACUGCGGUGAAUACGUUCCCGGGGCUU